GAUGAACGCUGGCGGCGUGCCUAAUACAUGCAAGUCGAGCGAACGGACGAGAAGCUUGCUUCUCUGAUGUUAGCGGCGGACGGGUGAGUAACACGUGGAUAACCUACCUAUAAGACUGGGAUAACUUCGGGAAACCGUAGCUAAUACCGGAUAAUAUUUUGAACCGCAUGGUUCAAAAGUGAAAGACGGUCUUGCUGUCACUUAUAGAUGGAUCCGCGCUGCAUUAGCUAGUUGGUAAGGUAACGGCUUACCAAGGCAACGAUGCAUAGCCGACCUGAGAGGAUGAUCCGCCACACUGGGACUGAGACACGGUACGGACACCUACGGGAGGCAGCAGUGGGGAAUCUUGGACAAUGGGCGAAAGCCUGAUCCAGACAUACCGCGUGGGUGAAGAAGGCCUUCGGGUUGUAAAGCCCCUUUGUUGGGAAAGAAAAGCAGCAGGUUAAUACCCCGCUGUUCUGACGGUACCCAAAGAAUAAGCACCGGCUAACUUCGUG
rnacentral:rRNA from 1 species